GUCGAACGCUGGCGGCGUGCUUAACACAUGCAAGUCGACAUGAGUGGCGAACGGGAGAGUAAUACGUGGGUCACCUGCCCUCCGUUUUGGGAUAAGCCUUGGAAACGGGGUCUAAUACCGGAUAAAGGGGGAUGGGCUCGCGGCCUAUCGGCGUGUUGGUGGGGUGAUGGCCUACCAAGGCGUGGACGGGUAGCCGGCCUGAGAGGGAGACCGGCUACAAUGGGACGGCGAUACGGCCCAGACUGCUACGGGAGGGGGCAGUGGGGGAUAGUGCGCAAGUGGCGAAAGGCUGAUGCGGCGACGCCACGUGGGGGUUGAAGGCUUACGGUUUGGAAACCUCUUUCGCUAUCGAACGGGUACGUGGAGAAGAAGCGCCGGCUAACUACGUGCCAGCAGCCGCGGUAAUAC
rnacentral:rRNA from 1 species